rnacentral:rRNA from 1 species
ACGAACGCUGGCGGCGUGCUUAACACCUGCAAGUCGAACGAAGAGCGACGGAAGCUUGCUUCUAUCAAUCUUAGUGGCGAACGGGUGGGUAACGCGUAAUCAACCUGCCCUUCAGAGGGGGACAACAGUUGGAAACGACUGCUAAUACCGCAUACGAUCUAACCUCGGCAUCGAGGAUAGAUGAAAGGUGGCCUCUACAUGUAAGCUAUCACUGAAGGAGGGGAUUGCGUCUGAUUAGCUAGUUGGAGGGGUAACGGCCCACCAAGGCGAUGAUCAGUAGCCGGUCUGAGAGGAUGAACGGCCACAUUGGGACUGAGACACGGCCCAGACUCCUACGGGAGGCAGCAGUGGGGAAUCUUCCGCAAUGGACGAAAGUCUGACGGAGCAACGCCGCGUGAGUGAUGACGGCCUUCGGGUUGUAAAGCUCUGUUAAUCGGGACGAAAGGCCUUCUUGCGAAUAGUGAGAAGGAUUGACGGUACCGGAAUAGAAAGCCACGGCUAACUACGUG